GGAGGGUGCAAGCGUUAUCCGGAUUCACUGGGUUUAAAGGGAGCGUAGGUGGGCUGGUAAGUCAGUGGUGAAAUCCCCGAGCUUAACUUGGGAACUGCCAUUGAUACUAUUAGUCUUGAAUAUUGUGGAGGUCAGCGGAAUAUGUCAUGUAGCGGUGAAAUGCUUAGAGAUGACAUAGAACACCAAUUGCGAAGGCAGCUGGCUACACAUAUAUUGACACUGAGGCUCGAAAGCGUGGGGAUCAAACAGGAUUAGAUACCCUGGUAGUCCACGCCCUAAACUAUGGAUACUCGACAUACGCGAUACACUGUGUGUGUCUGAGCGAAAGCAUUAAGUAUCCCACCUGGGAAGUACGAUCGCAAGAUUGAA
rnacentral:rRNA from 1 species